CACAAGAUACGAUGUUCUUGAAGAACCUCUGAUCUGCUGAGCAAUGUCUUGCGAGAUUUACAGCUCCAAAGGAUUUACCAUAAAUAAAUAAAACCUUUCAACACCUUACAGCUCCUGGGAAACAAAAUCCAAAACAUUCUGAGUUGCGCUUAUCACCUCUUAUUGCCAAUGUUACUGGUUUCGAAAAGCACCAAUGUCUUGUCGGUUCUUGGUGUGAAGCCACUUGCAGCCAGCGAGUGAACCUCCAGGCUCACUGUGAAUCCUAAACCAUGUGAUGCACCUGGGUAUUCUGGCUUUACUGGAAGAUUCAUGGACAGUUAUCAUACUGGUAUGAAGUUUCCAGACAAAUACAUACAUUGCAGCUGUUUUUUGAAUGGGGAAUGUUUUUAUUUUCCAGAAGAUGUCAUUAUAAAGUGAGCUUCUCUGAUCUUUCAACUUUCUGGUAAGUAAUUAAACCAGGCUUUUCCGUUUUCUGUAUGUUUUCUGUAUGAAGCUGCCAUGAACUU
rnacentral:lncRNA from 1 species